AGAAUUGAGAAGAUAAGAUUGACAUUUGUGCUGAUCUAAGAUAUUAUAGCUGAAUGUGACCUUAACGAUUUUCUGGUCCAUGAAGGAUACAUGGGCUUCUGCUGGGUUGCCAACUCUGAAUGUCUGUAGCUGCCUGAAAAACUAUGUUGAGAAAGAUCCUGGGGUUUUGAGGUCAUCAGGCUCUCCCUCCCAUCCUGCACCUUAAUUGAGGAGAGACGGCAAAAAAGACUAUAUCCUGGGGCCAGCCCUGUGGCCAAGUGCUUAAGUUUGCGUGCUCUGCUUCGGUGGCCCAGGGUUUCACUGGUUCGGAUCCUGGGCAUGGACAUGGCACCACUCAUCAAGCCAUGCUGAGGCAGUGUCCCACAUAACAGAAUUAGAAGGACCUACAACUAGAACAUACAACUA
rnacentral:lncRNA from 1 species